AUUGAACGCUGGCGGCAGGCCUAACACAUGUAAGUCGAGCGGUAACACAGAGGAGCUUGCUCCUUGGGUGACGAGCGGCGGACGGGUGAGUAAUGCCUGGGGAUCUGCCCGAUCGAGGGGGAUAACUACGGGAAACUGUAGCUAAUACCGCAUAAUGUCUACGGACCAAAGUGGGGGCUCUUCGGACCUCAUGCUAUCGGAUGAACCAAGGUGGGAUUCGCUAGUUGGUGAGGUAAUGGCUCACCAAGGCGACGAUCUCUAACUGGUUUGAGAGAAUGACCAGUCACACUGGAACUGAGACACGGUCCAGACUCCUACGGGAGGCAGCAGUGGGGAAUAUUGCACAAUGGGCGCAAGCCUGAUGCAGCCAUGCCGCGUGUGUGAAGAAGGCCUUCGGGUUGUAAAGCACUUUCAGCGGGGAGGAAGGGUCGCUAGUUAAUACCUAGUGGCAUUGACGUUACUCGCAGAAGAAGCACCGGCUAACUCCGUGCCAGCAGCCGCGGUAACAC
rnacentral:rRNA from 1 species